UACAGAGGGUGCGAGCGUUGUCCGGAAUCACUGGGCGUAAAGGGCGCGUAGGCGGCUCGGUAAGGUUGCGGUGAAAGCCCGGGGCUCAACCCCGGGUCGGCCGUGGCAACUGCUGAGCUGGAGCACUGUAGAGGCAGGUGGAAUUCCGGGUGUAGCGGUGGAAUGCGUAGAGAUCCGGAGGAACCCCAGAGGCGAAGGCGGCGCCCUGGCUCGUACCUGACGCUGAGACACGACAGCAUGGGGAGCGAACGGG
rnacentral:rRNA from 1 species